GCGAUGAUGCGGGAGGUUGCCGUACCGUGUACGGGUUUUUCCGCGGAGUAUGUCCGAUCUAGAACCGGGCGA
rnacentral:ncRNA from 1 species